GUCGGGGGGGGGGGGGAAGGGGGGCAGCGCCGCCGCCUCCUCCUCCUUCUUCCUUCCGUCCGUCCUUCCGUCUGUCCGUCCGUCCGUCCGUCCUCCCGGGGCCGCACGGAGCGGGGCGGCGUUUCCCGCAUGUUCCCCGGGGGGAUGCUGCGCUCCGCGCCCCGCUCCCGUCGCAAAGUUUGCACGGGGCCCCCCCGCUGAUCCUUAGCGAGCAGAAAGGAAAGGAAAAAGGAAAAAAAAAGGGGGAGGAGAACGAGACCCAAACAACCGAACAACAAGAGCCUAAAAAUACCCCCCCAACCCCGCUCUCUACCCCCUAAAAGGAGCAAAGCGAAGCAAAAAACCGAUCGAACCCACGGCAGCCCUAAGGAAAGAAAACUUGCCGAACUCGCUGCGCUCCAUGCGGCGCUGACCCGCAGCCAUGGCCAUGGUGGCCGGCGGGUGGGGAGAACCCAACGGCGGCGGAGGAGCGGCGGAGGAGGCGGCGUCCCCCGCGGGCGGCGGUAGCGACGCUGAACACGGCGAGGAGGAACGACCCGGAGCGGCGGUGGAUUGCGUGGUGUGCGGGGAUAAAUCCAGCGGGAAGCACUACGGCGUGUACAGCUGCGAGGGCUGUAAGGGUUUCUUUAAGCGCACCAUCCGUAGGAACCUCAGCUACACCUGCAGCAUUGAAACGCACUGAGUCACUCCGGACACGGCUGUGCUGCCCCACGAACAGCACUAGAGCUGCUUUAUCCACAGGUUCUAAGGGUUAAACGCGGAUCUUACCCCAUCCCCAACCAACUUUAGGGCUGCCACAACUCCAGCAGUCUCACAUCCCCCCCCAGCUGUGUGCUCCGUGCACCCACAGAGCCCUGAUCCCGCAGCACGGUGCCCCCCAUUGAACAACCCACAUGUGGGUGCUGCCGACUCUGACCUUUGCAAUAGGGAUGGGAACAGAGCUGCUCCUGCUUUGCCUCCGUCCCCUGUGCUGCUUUGCUCUGCUUUGGGUGGCCUACAUUCCUCCUCCCCCGCGCUCAGCAUCUCUGCUCCAGCACAGCGGUGCAGAUCAGCAUGCAGGGAUGAAGGCACACAGACCCUGUGCUCAUCCCCUCAACCUUCUUUAGGGCCAUUAUAUAGGGCCAGAGCUGCUCUAUGGAAGGAAUCAAAGCCAACGCUGCUCUCAUUUGAAUAUUAAAAGUGAGUCGGAGUCGGUGUCGUUCUCGCACUCGAUAAUUACACGUUCUAAUUACAUAAUUAGCACCGUAUCCGCCUGGCACGUUCUCCCAGCAGCUCCCUGCACACAUCAGUGGGGCCGUGCUCUGUUGGUGGCAAUGGGGUCAGGGCUGAUGGAGAUGUCACCGGGCUCUCUGCUCGGCACAGAGGUGAUGUUCGGGUUCAUUAAUGCUGCUUGGAGUGCUGGGAAUGGCCAUGUGCUGCUCUCUGGAGCUGUGUUGGAAUGAGGAUGGCCGUGUUGGGGCUCCCAGCCUGUGCUGUGCCUGUGCUGCUGCUCUGUGCCUUCAUUCCCCCCCCCCUAUAUCCCCUUAUAUCCCUUUUCCUCCUGGGUUGGGAUGCUAGCACUGUGCUGGGGGUCUCCUGCAGACAGGGCUGUGGGUAUCACUGACCCAUUGGGAUCUAUGGCCCUUUAACCCAAAUCUCAGCCCCACUGACACCUUAGGAUCACUCUAUGGGGCUGACCCCCCCCCACCCAAUGGACCCAGCCCUCCAGGUCCCACAGCUCCAUAGGAAAUAGCUGGAAUUCCUCCCAUGGCUGUUCCCCCCCCCUUUAUUGGGCUGUACACGCUGCACAGCCCCAUCCCACGCUGCAGUCCCAAAAGCCACGGGCAUGGCUGCAAAUAGGGAUUCUCAGCCCAGUCUGUUGGAAAUAGCUCCCAGGCACUGUUACCAUAGCAUCUGUGUGCGGGUGUGUGUGUAUGUGUGUGCUGGGGGGGGGUAUGUGUGCUGGGUGGUGGCUAUGGGGCCGUGCCUGGUGUCACCAUGCUAUAAACACCCCCUUUAUCACCCCUUCCCCCCCCCUAUACCCUCCUACACCUACAGGUCCAACCGCGACUGCGUGAUCGACAAACGCCAAC